CCUAGACUACUUGCAACUAACACUCUACAUAGCGUUUUUGAUGGGGAUUCGAACAAGACUAUUACAAAGACGAUAUGUUCGAAGGGGCCGAAGUUAUUUUCGGCGAAAGUUAUGGCUAUCUAUAUUUUUGUUCAGACAAUUGCGUAAUUUGAUACAAUAUGAUCGUGUUUGACUUUCAAAGGCCCAUAAAUCGCUACAAUGUUGAUAAUGACAAUAACUAUAGUGCGAAAUUAGUUGAAGCUUUUAUUUCUGAAUCGAAUGGUGGUAUUUCUGUCCUCAUAGCAUGCACUGAACCGAAGAUAGAUAUUAAAAUAUUGAGCCAUCAACUCGCCGAGAUAUUUACAUUAGAAACAAUUGAAUCGUAUACUCAAAAUGCGAUACUUGUCGAGAAAGAGUUUUUUUGAGUAAUUUUUGGAGUAAUUUUUUAAAAAUAAAUUACAAAUCAUACCUCGGUAUGCAUGCAAGCGUAUGUUUAUACAACCCUCGGGAUUUCGCAGACCGAUAUUGGCUUUCGCAUGCUCUUGACUGACGUUUGCGGUUUGUUGCGCACACUACAUGCUAUAUUG